rnacentral:rRNA from 1 species
AGUCUCAGUUCAGAUUGUAGGCUGAAACUCGCCUACAUGAAGCUGGAGUUACUAGUAAUCGCAGAUCAGAAUGCUGCGGUGAAUGCGUUCCCGGGUCUUGUACACACCGCCCGUCACACCACGGAAGUUGGGGGCACCCGAAGCCGGUGAGUUGACCGCAAGGGGACAGCCGUCGAAGGUGAGACUGAUGACUGGGGUGAAGUCGUAACAAGGUAAC